rnacentral:rRNA from 1 species
UACGUAGGGUGCAGGCGUUAAUCGGAAUUACUGGGCGUAAAGCGUGCGCAGGCGGUUUGCUAAGACAGGUGUGAAAUCCCCGGGCUUAACCUGGGAACUGCGCUUGUAACUGGCAAGCUGGAGUGUGGCAGAGGGGGGUGGAAUUCCACGUGUAGCAGUGAAAUGCGUAGAGAUGUGGAGGAACCCCGAUGGCGAAGGCAGCCCCCUGGGCUAACACUGACGCUCAUGCACGAAAGCGCGGGAGCAAACAGG